rnacentral:lncRNA from 1 species
UUUUAUUAUAGUCAUCAUUCCAGGGAAGGGACCUUGCCCAUUAUGUCUUAUAUGGUACAAGAACAAUUUUGUCAGUAAGAAGAUUAUUGGAUUAUUGGUCACUGGAUAAUUUGGGUUAGGUGUCAUUUAUUUAGAGAAAUUGUCAGGAGAGCCAGCUGCACCACUCAUGGGGGCCAUUGGAGCCUGGGCAGCUAAAUCUGGGUGCAGCCCUCCCCUUCUAGAAGAGGGAAGAGCCUUUUGUCUCAUCUGCCUGUAGUGUAGACUACCAAGAGUGAGCGCUGGUCUUCAUCUUCCAACAAGGAAUUCCUCAGAGAGAAUGUUACGUCUCUAAGAUUUGGGACAGUAAACAGAAGUCACCUAAUUUGGGGGAAAUUUAAAUGUUAUUUUGCCUGAAUUCAAAUUUGGAAUAUCUAAAAGGAGUUGGAAAAUUAAUGCUGCAAUUGGCUUGACGGCUUAUCUUUCUUUUUAGAAAGCAAUGAAGAAACCUUUCCUUUGUUACUUCCUUCCUUGGUGAUUGCCUGCCUUCUUCACCAAUAUACUGGAGUUACAGAAUGCGGUGAUAUGUACUUUACAAUGGGAUUAAAUAUGGCAACAUGGCUAGAUCUGCACAAAUCUGGAACUCUCGUUCUGUUUGUGCUAUAGAAGACUUCAUUUGGAUUCUAAGGACCUGGGAUGCCAAACGUCAGCAAGUGAAAUGUGCCUCCAUGAUACUAAUUCCUGAUCAUCACCAGAGGACCAGUUGCACAAUGCAUGAAAAAACAUCAUUAUGAGUGGCUAUAAUGAUAGUAGAAAGAUCAUCCUACUAGGAAUGAGGAUAUUCUGCCUUUAAAAAAGCAGUGUAAACCUGAGGUAAGUCAUAUACCUUCUCUGAGUUUCAAGGUUUUUUUUAAUUGGUAAUAUUACAUCAGCCCAAUUUAACCAAAAGUGUUAUGAAUAUCAAAUAAUAAGGUAUAGAUGUUGAAGGAUUUGCCAAGCAUGCAAAGCCUACCCAAUUAAAUGGUGAUAUUAUUUGCUGAGAAUUACUAAUUAGAAGGCAGUUAAAUAAAUUAACUAUGAGACUGAGAAAUUGAGAAAUC